UACAAAAAGCAUGUAUCUACUUGCAGGAAUAAAUUUGCAAGAGGAAAGUCUGGACACCACGGGAAAAGAUUAAAAGCUAACGGCUUUGGCUUGAAAAUAUAAACAAUAAAUUUCAAGUACGGAAAGUGCCACAGAGACAAUAAAACGAAAAGUAAUUUUCGCAAAGGUGAAAAGUCAUCUGGUGUAAGAAAUUGCUACAGAUGAAAAACUAAUUUUUAGUUUUUGGAAAACCCUAGUUGGUGCAAUCGGAAUGGUAUUUUUAUAAAGUUAUUUUUCCCUAUUGCUUUUUAAAAAUAUACCGAGCUUGAACUUUGAGGUGACUCAAAGUCUAGAUAGAUUGAUACAGAAGUACAAAAUCCGGCUUAUUACUUUUUGUAGUGU
rnacentral:RNase_P_RNA from 1 species